rnacentral:rRNA from 1 species
CGAAACCUGCCCAGCAGAACGACCCGCGAACACGUGAUGCCCCCCGGUUGCGCCGGACGGUCGGCGGACGUCGAAAGCCGCCCCCCGCCCGCCCGGAAAAAAACGAACCCCCCGCCGGGACCGCGCCAAGGAAAACGAACAACGGAUCGGGCGCUACGCGCCCCCCGAAAUCUCAA